UUGAACGCUGGCGGCAGGCUUAACACAUGCAAGUCGAGCGGGCGAGGUUGCUUCGGUAACUGAGCUAGCGGCGGACGGGUGAGUAAUGCUUCGGAAUCUGCCUAUUAGUGGGGGACAACAUUCCGAAAGGAAUGCUAAUACCGCAUACGCCCUACGGGGGAAAGCAGGGGAUCUUCGGACCUUGCGCUAAUAGAUGAGCCUAAGUCAGAUUAGCUAGUUGGUGGGGUAAAGGCCUACCAAGGCGACGAUCUGUAGCGGGUCUGAGAGGAUGAUCCGCCACACUGGGACUGAGACACGGCCCAGACUCCUACGGGAGGCAGCAGUGGGGAAUAUUGGACAAUGGGCGCAAGCCUGAUCCAGCCAUGCCGCGUGUGUGAAGAAGGCCUUUUGGUUGUAAAGCACUUUAAGCGAGGAGGAGGCUACUUGGAUUAAUACUCUAGGAUAGUGGACGUUACUCGCAGAAUAAGCACCGGCUAACUCUGUGCCAGCAGCCGCGGUAAUACAGAGGGUGCGAGCGUUAAUCGGAUUUACUGGGCGUAAAGCGUGCGUAGGCGGCUUCUUAAGUCGGAUGUGAAAUCCCUGAGCUUAACUUAGGAAUUGCAUUCGAUACUGGGAAGCUAGAGUAUGGGAGAGGAUGGUAGAAUUCCAGGUGUAGCGGUGAAAUGCGUAGAGAUCUGGAGGAAUACCGAUGGCGAAGGCAGCCAUCUGGC
rnacentral:rRNA from 1 species